ACAGGCACAUGCACAGUAGACUCUAAUUGUUGGUGUAAGAACUAGAAAGUGACGGCUAUUAAAGAUCUCUCUCUCAACUUUUUCGAGGGUCAGAUCACAACUCUGCGCGGAGUAGGCAAAAUCACCAUCUUUUAUGCAUAAUUUUGAUGACGUGAGAAACAAGGAAUCUACAGUGGAACCUCUGUGAACAACCACCUCCGAAUAAAGGCCAGCUGCUAUAUAACGGCCAGGCACCCAGGUCCCAAAUGAACAGUUUGUGUACAAAACAACCUCUCAACAAAGGCCACCUCUGUAUAAAGGCCAAAACAUUGUUCCCCAAAGGUGUCUGUUAUACGUAGAGGGGUUCCACUGUACUUUGUGCCUGGUGGUAUAGUAAGAUCAUUACAAUUGAGAUUUCUCAACCCGAUAGACGCUUAGGCCAUUGCUAGUGUUUAGUCUAUUAGUCUAUCACAAUAUGACCUUCAACUUGAACCCAUCUCUCUAACUUCUCUCACAUGUUACAGCCGGAACUGCCAAUAUCUAUGGCAACGCAUAGACCUGAUCCGACAAGGUCUGGGGAUUUGUCCUCAAUAUAACAUCCUAAUCAGCGAGUAAGUUUUUCAUGUGCUGUGAUAAGGAGCACUUGCUCUUCUUUGGACUCUACUGAAGGUACUCCCUUGGAAGGAGUCUAAGGAACAGACACCGGAAUGGUGGCAGGAGCACAUGUGCUCUUGAUGGCGGCAUGUUGAAGGUUAGCCUUCUCUCCCAUGCAACCAAUUAAUGGCCAAGCAUGAAAAGGAAGCUAUCCAGAUCUGUGUUGUCCAGAAUAUUGCUGUAAUCAUGUGAUACUGCCCCCCCCCCCACCCAUGACUAUAGUGUGUGAGUCAGACGACUCUGGACGAUGUGUUCACCCACUUUGCCAACAGACAAAGCGAGGGGGCGGGGCUUGAAUUUGAAGUGCAUGGAACUGCCUGCAUGACAUCAUUCCAAGUGACGUGAAUGAGAAUUACCUGAGAAUACACGUGAGACUAUAAUUAUACAACACGUACUGUAAAUUUUGUUUUACAUUGCUUGUUUUGUUUUUGUAUUAUAAAUUAUUAUGUCAUCAUAGAAUCAA